CCUGCCUUGUGGGGGCUUAGAAAUGUAAGGUAAAGCACCUGCUGUGCUGGAGGGGCUGAGAUGUUCCCAGUUUGCUGGCAACAAUACUCCAAUGGUGGCUGGAGGGGCCAUGGGAGAGUGUGUUGCAGUUAACGGCUGCAGGCCCUCAUCGUUGGCAGAGGAGAUGGGAGUCACUUAGUAUCAACAGGGCAUGAGGAAGUGUUAUAAGUCGUGUAUGAGUCAUGUAAUAGCAACACCAAGGAGAGAGCCUAUCACACUUCUCGGAGGAGGCCUCCAAGGAGCACUGUUCACAUGGU
rnacentral:lncRNA from 10 species